CGUAGGUGAACUGCGGAGGAUCAUUA
rnacentral:rRNA from 1 species